rnacentral:lncRNA from 1 species
UAAAAUUUUGAACUUUUUCUUGAAAUAAAGAUCGUUCGUUUAAAUAAGUACUAAGCACAACCAGAGGUAAAAUUUAAACUUCACUAAGUAAACAUUCAAAAGAUGCCAUUUUCGCAUGGCUUAUAUACAUUAACCAAAGAUAUUCUUCCGCCACUAGUCUAUUCUAUACAUGCCAUAAGAUAAUCCAAAACGUAGCAGUACCAAACAAUGGAUAGUGAUAGUGUGACUAGUUGCUGAUGAUCCCCGAGCUUGUAGCUUCCAAAUGAGAUCUAUAAAACAGAGCAAACAGAGUAAACGGAGUAAGCAUUACAAUGCUUAGUAAGUUUUAAGCAGUGUCAACAGAUAACAAUCAAAUUAUAACAUAGUUGUUCGUAUAGUUUAUUUCACUCUUCCUUCGGGCAUACCAUCCCUUUUUCCGAAUAUGCACAUCUCAUCAUAUACAAUAGGCAGAUAAACUUUCAUAUAAAAGUGAGCUCAUGUGACAUAGAUAUAUCGUAUGAUUUCACAUAACCUCUCACACUGAUCCGAUGUCACAUAAUCAUAGGAAUAGUCUCAUAGAUUGCUCUCUAUGCAUCACAUAACUACCUUAUGAUUUAGUGCAAAUCAAGCUCACAUAUAAACUUGGAGUACAUACUUGUUUAACCUUUCGCAUUGAAUAUAUUUAUAAGCAAUUCUUAUUACGAAGUCUUACCCGGACAUAAUCUCCACACGAAAUUAUCGGGUCUUACCCGGACAAAAUCCCCACACGUAGUCAUCGGGUCUUUAGAGCUCAGAUAUAGUACGAGCACGAAGCUUACGGACAUUAAUCAGUGAUAAUAUUCUCGCAUAAAGCCUGCGGGGUUUUAACCCGGAUAUAGUGCUGACACAAAUGCCCUUCGGGACGUAUCACAUUUAUACACUUUCACAUCCAUCACGUUGGCCACUCGGCCCUGUCACAUAUAUACACUUUCACAUUCAUCACAUCGGCCAUUAGGCCUUAUCACAUAUAUACACUUUCACAUUCAUCACAUCGGCCAUUAGGCCUUAUCACAUAUAUACACUUUCACAUUCAUCACAUCGGCCAUUAGGCCUUAUCACAUAUAUAUACACUUUCACAUUCAUCACAUCGGCCAUUAGGCCUUAUCACAUAUAUACACUUUCACAUUACCAACCCUUUUAUUCAUACACAAAGAUCAACUUAGCCAAAGGCCGGUAGCUCAUUUAUCAACUGAGCGAAUACUUAUUUGUAAGGGCUCAACUAAUUCAAAGCACAUACGAAACAUACCUCAAUGUUUGGAUGUUUCAAGCGUAUUAACUAAAAUUUUUACAGCAAGAUCAUUCAUUCCCAAAUCACAUACCUUCGGAAUUUAACCGGAUAUAGCUACUCGUUCAAAUGCCUUUGGGACAUAGCCCGGUUAUAGUAACUCGCACAAAUUCCUUCGGGACUUAACCCGGAUUUAGUAACUAGCACAAAUGCCUUCGGGCUUAGCCCGGAAUUAGUAUCUCGCACAAAUGCCUUCGGAUCUUAGUCCGGAUUUAGUAUCUCGCACAAAUGCCUUCGGAUCUUAGUCCGGAUAUGGUCACUUAGCACAAAGCCUUCGGGACUUAGCCCAGACAUCAUUCAAAUAACCAUGCACAUUUAACAAUAAAUCAUGGCACAUUCGUAUUUCAUUUUCGUUAGCAAAACUCAAACACAAGACACUUAUCAUUCUUGCAAUUUCGGCUCAAUAGCCACACACAAAGAGCAUGAUUUUGAUUUGCUUAAAACAUGAUCUAAUCAAAUCAUAAUUUAAGCUCUAUUACUCAAGAACUUACAAUAUCACGAUUUAGAAUUCAAGUAUGGGUUUAAUCAAUAGCUUGUGAGCAACUAAAACAAGUUUAUCAAGGUUCACAACAUAAUCUCAAAUUCAGCACAAGCUGUUUUUCCUGAGCAAUAGUCACUAAAUUAUUUAUAACUAGAGCUAAAAAACUCCAAAUCACUUUCCGUUAAUUUUUCCUGAAUAUAGACUCGUAUAUCUUCCACCCAUAAAAUUUCCAGAAUUUUAGGUUUGGCCAAUCAAUACCAGAUUUUUCUUAAAGUUUCCCCUGUUUCACUGUUUGACUAAUCUAACCACUCUUCACUACGAAUCAAAUUUCUCAUUUUACAGAAUUCAAAAUGUGUUUUAUUUGAUUCCAUUUGAAACUAGACUCAUUAAUGAGUCUAAGCAUAUAAAUUUUAUCUUAUAAACAUUUUUUUACAAUUUAUAAUGAUUUUCUAAAAACAGAACAGGGGAUUUCGGAGUCAUUCUGACACCGUCUCACACAACUUUAAAUAUCUCAUUAUCGGAAAUUCCUUUGCUUACACGGUUUCUUUUAUAAGAAACUAGACUCAUUAAGCUUUAAUUUCAUGUCUCAUUCAGCCUCUAAUUCAAGUCCAUAAAUUUAUGGUGAUUUUCUAAAGUCACGUUACUGCUGCUGUCCGAAGCAGACUAUUUCAAAUUACCCUUAAAUUCCCAAGCUCAAACACUUAAGAACUUACCAUUUGAGCUUAGAACAUAUCAUGGCCACAUCAUAUCUUAUUAAAUCAACUCAUCAUGUCCUAUUAUAAUUGAAUUUACUCAACGUUUAAACACUUAAAACUUACCUUGGAUGUGGUCGAACAAUUUCGGCAGCUAUUCGAUCACUUCUUCCCUUCCCUUAUCCAACUUUGGUCCUCUAAGCUCUUGAGCUUAAUUUAACAAAUAAAUUGAUUUAAUCAUUUGAGCAUCAAAAGAGGAACUCAAGGUACUUAGCCCAUAUAUACAUACAUUAGACAUUAAAGUCACAUACAUAUGAAAUCAUAAAUCAAUUCAACAUAUUAGCCCACACUCUCUUUUAGCCGAUUGUCUAAGCCAAGAUAAAAGCAUCAAUAUGCUUGCCUCUAGCCGAAUACAUGCAACACCAAGCAAGAAUGAUGCAUCCAUGGCCGAGUAUCAUCUUCAUAACUUUACAAAAACAUUUGCCAUGAGCUAGCUUCUAUACUUGGUGGCCACUCCAAAUAUACAAAGAUUUUCAAUGAUAGAGCAUUAACAUACCUUAAUACAUCAAAAUAAUUAAAUUCUUCCCAUGGCACACUAAAACCGAAUAUGUCUUAUUCAAAUAUAAAUUCUCAUAUUUCAUUUAUUUAACCAUUUAACCCUCCUAUCAAAUAAUUUUCACAAACUAAUCUUAAACUCAAAAUCACAUAAAAUCGUAACACAAAAGGCAUUCAUCUAACACUUGAUUUCUAAAUUCUAACAUCAAACUCAAAUUUCUUAGCUCAUCAACUCAUGGCCGAACAUCAAUUAUUCACCAAAACAAAAAUUAACUCAUGGGUUUUAGAGAAAAUUAAGUAAGGAAUUCAAUGAUACUAAAAAUUAACAAAAACAACCUGAAUUUCACCUUGAAUUUUUGCUUCCAAAUGGCCGAAACUUCAAAGCCACAAAUUUUAUUUUCUUUCUCCUUUGUUCGGCCUCCAAGAUGAACUACAUGCAUGUUCUUUUUUUCUUUUUUUUUAUGCCCCAUACCGUCCAUAUCAAUUGUCUAAGGUUAAAUAUCAUCACAAAUACUCCAACUUACAAAAACAACUUCAAUUCGGCCCUGAAGAUACAAACAUGCAUGGCUUUCCAUUUUAUGUUUUAUAAUACUUAUUUUUAUGUUUUAUAAUACUUAUAAAAAUAAUUAUCUCACAAAUAACUUUAAAAUAAACAUAUAAAGACAUCAUGCAUUAAGCCAUUACCAUCCAUAUAUUUAUUAAUGAUAUAAUUGCCAUUCAAAACCUCAAUAUUCUAAAGACAUAACACUUUAACAUUUUCAUGAUAGCAUGCUUAUUAAUCAAUUGAUGCAUUUUAAUCCUUUUUAAUGACAUAAAGAAAGAAAGAAAAAUAUUUACCAAGAGUUUCAAACUACUUGGCCGAAUAUCAAACCUCCAAACAACCAAAAAAUUUAACUCAUGGAAUGGAUAGAAUUUGAACAAAUCACCAAAAUUAUAUAUAAAUUUUCAAGAAUUUCAAAGUACUUACCUCUUUCUAAAUAUUCUCCAAGCCGAAAUCAUACAAAGAAAUUUUUUUCUUCCUUCUAAUCUCAAGUUACGGCAAUGGUAGAGUGAGGAUGAACCAACUUUGUUUUUAUCACCCAUUUCUUUUAAUAUAAGUUCAUAUUUCAUAUUAUUUAUUCAUUUAACAUUUAAUUUAUUAAUAUAAAAGGCAUAUAUUUUGUAUCCCAUGCUCCUUAUUUUAUCAUACUUCCCAUGAAACACUAACUUAACAUGUUUAUGACAUGUUCUUGCCCAUCACACUUGGUCUACCAUACUUGUCAUGGCCGGCCACUACUAAUUAGGGGGGAAAUUGACAUGCAAGUCCCCCCUUUUUAUUUCAUGCACUAAUAGAUCCUUAUGCUUUGACCUAUCACAUUUCAAAAUUUUCUCACAUAAGUCCUAUUUGAUAAAAUUCACUUACUAUUAACAAAAUUCAAACAUGAAAUUUUCACACAUGCAUAUGUACAUAUAAUGAGCAUCAACUAUGACGGUUAAUUAUCUUUAUGACUCGGUUUAGUGGUCCCGAAACCACUUUCCGACUAGGGUCACUUUAGGGGUGUCACAGAUUAUGCUUAUUCCAAAGAUUAUUAAUCCUUCUAAUCUGACUCAUUUUCGGCCAAUUAGUCUCUGUAAUGUUAUUUAUAAACUUGUGGCAAAGGUGAUUGCAAAUAGAUUUAGAGGAGUCAUUGAUAAAUGUAUUGAUGAAGCACAUAAUGCAUUUGUGCUAAGGAAACUCAUAACAGAUAAUGCACUAGUGGCCUAUGAAGUUUUACAUUCAAUGAAACAGAAGAGAGGGGGGAAGAAGGGAUUUAUGGCCAUCAAGUUAGAUAUGAGUAAGGCCUACGACAAAGUAGAAUGGAAUUUUAUUCAAGAAAUUAUGAGUAGAAUGGGUUUUUCUCAAAAAUGGAUUGAAUCUAUUAUGAAAUGUAUCUUUAGUGUUUCUUAUUCAGUAGUGGUUAAUGGUAACAAAAGAGAUAUAUUCUAUCCAACAAGGGGACUUAGACAAGGAGAUCCAUUAAGCCCUUUUUUAUUUCUGAUAUGUGGAGAGGGUCUAUCAGGUCUAAUGCGAAUGGCUAUUAGCGAAGGAGUUAUAAAAGGUGUUAAAGCUAGUAGAAGUGGCCCCAGGGUGUCUCAUUUACUAUUUGCUGAUGACUGCAUAAUGUUUUAAGAAGCAACAAGAAGGGGAGUAAGAGCAAUCAAGCAGAUUUUGCGUGAAUAUAAAAAUAGUUCAGGUCAGUUCGUAAACUUUGAAAAAUCAGCAGUAUUUUUUAGCAACAACAUAUCUGUGGAAGUUAGGCAAAUAGUGAUCACCCAAUUGGGAAUCCACAGCUCCAAUGAAUUAGAAAGGUAUUUAGGACUGCCAAGUUUAGUUGGGAAAAGGAAAAAAGAAUCUUUUCAAGCAUUUAAGGACAAAAUGAAACAGCGGAUUGAUAAUUGGUGUAUGAGAUUACUGUCUCAAGGUGGAAAGGAAAUAUUUAUUAAAUCAGUUUUACAAGUGAUACCGACUUACUCAAUGGCUUAUUUUUUUAUUACUGAAGACAUUAUGUGAUGAAAUGGAAGGCAUUGUAGCCAAGUUUUGGUGGCAAAAGGGACGUGGAAAGAAAGGAAUUCAUUGGUGUUUAUGGAGAAAUAUGUGUUCUUUAAAAGAAGUUGGAGGUAUGGGUUUCCGAAUUUUUUGCCAAUUUAAUGUUGCGUUAUUAGCCAAGCAGGGCUGGAGCCUUAUUAAUAAUCCGAGUUCCUUAUUAGCCAGAGUUUUUAAAGCCAAAUAUUAUCCAUAAUCAAAUUUUUUAAACGCAUAGUUGGGUUAGUUACCUUCAUAUACCUAGAAGAGCAUUUAGGCAGCACGAGGGCUCAUUCAGGAUGGGUUGUGUUGGAAAGUCAGUCGAGGGACCGAGAUUGAUGUCUGGACUGAUUGCUGCAUUCCUGGAUGUGAAGCCAUUGGUAGACAAGGUAGAGAGACAAACAGUGAUGUCCUAUUAGUUUCGGAUUUAAUCAAUAAUACUAGUAGGACUUGGAAGCGAGACCUGAUCAAUAAUACCUUUCAAUCAGGCAUAGCGCAAAAAAUUUUGAAGAUUCCUUUGGCAGAGUCAGAACAUGUUGACUUUCAGGUGUGGAAAGAGGAACCUUCAAGGGAGUUCUCAGUAAGAAGCGCCUAUAAACUAUUACAUCAUUCUAGCUCGAAUCCUAAUAUUUAUCCAUUACAACCCAAAAUAAGAAACUUCUAUAGAAAAUUGUGGGAUUUACAGCUACCGGGUAAAAUAAAGAUACUAGUUUAGCGAAUUUCCUGGAACUACAUCCCUUCCCUAAUAAAUCUAAGAUCCAAGAAAGUAAUAGAGAAUGCUCUGUGCCCUCGGUGCAGACUCAAAGAGGAAGACAGUAACCAUAUCUUUAGAUUUUGUCCUGCAAUCAGUGAAAUAUGGAAUCUCAUUAAUCUCUCUUAGACCAUUGAUCAUGAUAAUCAAAGUUUCUAGAAGUGGCUUAUCUGGGUUUUUGAAAGGAGUACAAUGGAGCAAUGUCGGUCCUUUUGUUGUGCGCUAUGGUGCGUUUGGAGUUCCCGAAAUCAGCUUGUACAUGAAAAGAAAAUCAUACCAGUUAGGGAUUUAGCAAGGAAAGUCAGCAGUUACAUAGCAGAACUGGAAGGGAUCCGAAUGAAAACAUUUACCUCUUCUUCCAAAAGGGACAACAGUUAUACUAGGGCGACGGAGGGUACCACAGUUCAGUUUGAUGCCGUUUUUGACAAAAGAAAUGAUAGAUCUGCCUCAGGUAUAGUCGUUCGAGACUAGACAGGAGCUUUAAAAGCCUCAAAGUCAGUUAUACAUGAGGAUACCCCGACCCCGUUCGCAGCAGAAGCCCUCGCAGGAUUAGAUGCCAUUAAGUUAGUAAUAGAAAUGAGGUUAACAACAGUAACAAUAGAGAGGGACUCGAGAAUAGUCAUUCAAAAAUGUCAAUCGACAGAAAUUGAUAAGUCGGUCCUUGGGGUGAUUAUUUAUGACAUACAGACCAGAAAAUCCAGGGGUUCAAGACGUUACUUUCAAGUUUAUCCAUAGAACGAAUAACAUUCAAGCCCAUAAUCUAGCAAAAAAAGGGUUGGAGAGAAGGGAGGACUCAUACCUGGGAGGGAAGACGACAAUUCAUAGAGUUGCAGACUCAGAGGGAAGAUGGAGAGAAUCGCCAGAUUGAAGAUGAAUGGACAAGGAGUAGGGUGCAGUUAAGGGUAGCAAGGAAUUGAUAUCUUAGGGAACGACUAUCUGCAAAGGCAUGGCUGUUGGGACGUGAAAAGACGAGUAAAGAAUUAAAUGGCCAGGCUGUUAGAUGUGACUGGGAGAUUUUCUGUUGAUUUCCUUUUGUUUUUCUAUUUUUUUAUUCUUUAUUGUCUUUUAUCAUCAUUUCUGAGAAACGGGCUAGCUAUUAAGGAAGCCCAACUUAGUUUGUUUUGUUUGUUUGGCAGUCGGACUUAAGCCCAAAUGUUAAUUUGGGUAUUGGUUUUAUUCUAUUUGUAAAGAGCCC